UAUCAAAAAACGAAUCCAUUGAAGUAAGUUUUCACCUGAAUCUCCUGAAAUCGAUAAAAAAAAAUUGUAUUUCAUAAAUUGAAGAGGCAAUUGAAAAUAUAAUUUCAGUUUGCUUUAUUGGUAAAUUCCAUGUAAGUUAAAUGAUUUAG